GGUCAAGCUAGAAAGAGCGCAAGGGGAAUGCCUUGGCAUCAGGAGCCGACGAAGGACGUGACAAGCUGCGAUAAGCUGCGGGGAGUGGCACAUACACAUUGAUCCGCAGAUUUCCGAAUGGGGCAACCCGGCAGAGCAAUACUCUGUCAGCGUGCGUUGAAUCAAAUAGGCGUACGCGGGGAACCGCCUGAACUGAAACAUCUAAGUAGGGCGAGGAAGAGAAAUCAACAGAGAUUCCGCUAGUAGUGGCGAGCGAACGCGGAAGAGGCCAAACCGAGGGAUUUAUUCCUCGGGGUUGAGGACUCACACAACGGUAAGAUAGGUUAGUCGAACGGUAUGGGAAGGCCGGCCACAGCGGGUGAGAGCCCCGUAGACGAAAACUGAAUCUUAUUAGUGAGGAUCCAGAGUACCGC
rnacentral:rRNA from 1 species